rnacentral:lncRNA from 1 species
CAUAUUAAUAUAUUUACAGUAUUUAUUAAUAGAUAAAAUCAAAAAGUUCCUAUGUUCAUCAUGAAUUAGAUGCAUUAGAAAGAGAACAAUUGGAAAUUGAUAAAAAUGCUGCAGAAUUAGAAAAAAAAUUAAGAAAAGUAAUGGAAUCAGGAAAUAGUGUAUUAGAAGAAGAGUUAAUGCAACAGUGGUUUACUCUGGUCAAUAAAAAGAAUGCUUUAAUUCGUCGCCAAAUGCAGUUAAAUAUUCUGUACUUUCUCAUUGUUCUGACAUGAAGAUAUGCAUGCAGAAUAGAAGUAUUUUGAAGGUGUAGGAGCAUGCCUCUGCAUAUGGUGGAGGCAAUCAACAGACUUGAUUAGGAAAUUGAUUACUUGGCCUAUAGCUGGAUCUAACACCAUGAAAUUAUAUUCCAUUUGACCCUUUAAAUGAAGUCUUGAGAGACAAGAGCCACUGCAUGAAGAACUCUCUGAAGUCAAAGAAUUUGUCAAGCAAUGGCUCCAACACAGCCAAAAUACUUCUAUUCUGCAGAUAUAUUAUCAUUGUCAAAAUGAUAAAAGUAUCCAUGUAAGGAGGAAUAUCUAGAGAAAAAAUAAAUACAUUGGAACUACAUAACACACAGUUCCAUUGCUAUUACUGAAAUUCUGGACAGACGUUGAAUUGCCCUAAUAUUUUUUAACAGAAAAAAUUAAUUUUAUUUAAAAUAAAUAUGGGAAAUCUAUACAAGUAU